rnacentral:rRNA from 1 species
UACGGGAGUGGCAAGCGUUAUCCGGAAUUAUUGGGCGUAAAGCGUCCACAGGCGGUCUGUCAAGUCUGCUGUUAAAGCGUGGAGCUUAACUCCAUUAAGGCAGUGGAGACUGACAGACUAGAGUGUGGUAGGGGCAGAGGGAAUUCCCGGUGUAGCGGUGAAAUGCGUAGAUAUCGGGAAGAACACCAGUGGCGAAGGCGCUCUGCUGGGCCAUAACUGACGCUCAUGGGCGAAAGCCAGGGGAGCGAAAGGGAUUAGAUACCCCUGUAGUCCUGGCCGUAAACGAUGAACACUAGGUGUCGGGGGAAUCGACCCCCUCGGUGUCGUAGCCAACGCGUUAAGUGUUCCGCCUGGGGAGUACGCACGCAAGUGUGAAACUCAAAGGAAUUGACGGGGGCCCGCACAAGCGGUGGAGUAUGUGGUUUAAUUCGAUGCAACGCGAAGAACCUUACCAGGGUUUGACAUCCUGCGAAUCUCUUGGAAACGAGAGAGUGCCUUCGGGAACGCAGUGACAGGUGGUGCAUGGCUGUCGUCAGCUCGUGUCGUGAGAUGUUGGGUUAAGUCCCGCAACGAGCGCAACCCACGUCGUUAGUUGCCAGCAUUUAGUUGGGCACUCUAGCGAGACCGCCGGUGAUAAACCGGAGGAAGGUGUGGAUGACGUCAAGUCAUCAUGCCCCUUACAUCCUGGGCUACACACGUACUACAAUGCUACGGACAAAGGGCAGCAAACUCGCGAGAGCUAGCAAAUCCCAUAAACCGUGGCUCAGUUCAGAUCGUAGGCUGCAACUCGCCUACGUGAAGGAGGAAUCGCUAGUAAUCGCAGGUCAGCAUACUGCGGUGAAUACGUUCCCGGGCCU